GCAUGGUAUUUCAGUGAGAUAGUAAUAUAAAGUCGGCUUCAGAUCUGCGCUAUCACAAGGAGGCAAGCACAACCACAUACCCUGCCUCAUGUAGACACUACACAUAUGAAUGAACGUCCUUAAAUGGCAUUAGCUGUUAAUAGGAUGUUAAAACUAAACUAAACCAAACAGGUUUUAUUGUUUGAUGGUUUGUAGUUCACAUGUUUGAUUGUAAGAAGGUGUGUUACUUACAUUUGUAACUUGUACUUGUACGAAUACAGUGUUUUAUUGGCGUUUUGAGAUACCAAUUGUGAUUAUCACAGGUUGGCUCGUCAAAUGCACUGUAUUCAGUGUCAAUUUAAAUGAAAGAGUUAGGUUAUAUUUUUUCAUUUGUAAGUGUGUACGUACAAGUUUGUGUAUUGCAUGAGUUAAAAACAGGUGUGUCUUAUAUGUUUGUAGAUUACUUACUCGUUCGUAAAUGUAUUAAUUAUGCAGAUUACAUUUGUGCAUUGUGUUCAGUAGCUUUUGAUGCAAGUAUGUGUAAUGCAUGGUUCAGGGAAAUAUAUUGGAUUUAUGUAAUAGGAAGAUAUCAAAUAUAUGUAUGAAAUGUGAAUGUUAUAUAUAUAUUAUAUACUGAACGGUAUAAGCACAUGCAUAUUAAUAUGACUGUUGAAACACGUUAGACGGUGUGGCAAAACUGUUUAUCUAUAAAUUUCAUUCUAUUAUUUAUUUCGGAAAAAAAUAUUUGUUGACAAAGAAAGACUACUGGUGUGGCUAGCAGGAAAAUUGUGAAAUAACAAAUAGCUUAUCAAGUGCAAUGUGCAAUUUUCUGUUGAUUGCAAGUAUGUUUGUCAUGAACCAGAAUAGUGUUGUACAUUUGUGUGCGAUUUUGAUACACUAUAUUCUAGCUUCACGUGCAAUAUGAAUAUUAGUACAUAUAAAGUGUAUGGAGUUGUGUUAAAUACAGUAGAUUCAUAGUUGACAAUUUGAUAAUGACAAACACUAUAUCAGACAAAGUGAUGCAAGGAAAAUGAGCGGAAAGGAUUACGGCACCCUUAGUUGCCCCGACAACUAAAUGGCUGUAUCUGGAGAAGUCACUGAUGACUCAGAUUUCCUUAUCGAGACAUGACAACAUCAUGGUACUAAAGCGGAAUAACAGGACAUCUUAAAGUAGGUACGACGGAAGGGAGGUAAUCAGAAGUUGUUCUUGAGCAUGGAGCAUCUUGUAGUUUGUGUGGUAUUAAUAACAGCUAACGUGGAGCUAACAUGGAGCUUCUUGUAGUUUGUGUGGUAUUAAGAACAGCUAACGCCGUGGUUAGGACCAACACUUCCGUGACAAAGUGACUAGAAAUACAUUUCGUUUCUUUAUAUUUUAAUUAAGUGGAGUUAGGUAGACGUAUUUACUAAGUAUGCGUUUGAUCGUGCAGAGUUAGGGUAUUGUAGGCUCUUACCUGUAUAGAGAUGUUACCUGUAUACGUCAUCGACGAGAUUGUUACACAACAGGACGGACGCAUUACAUUUUGCUCCGUAAUUUUUUAACAAGACUGAAGAUUUUUUGUAAAUUUUUAAAAUAGCGUGUUUCUUUAGUGUUUAUGGAAUUUUCAGUAGUUAGUAAAAGGAUGUUUUUACUGUUUUUAUUUUUGUAGCUAAUGAUGAAAUUUGUUUCGGAGAAUCUUAUUGUUACUUGUUCAGGAACAGUUUCCUACCAGGAUCUACUUGGGAGAGCGUCAGAGGACUUUCAGCGUGUGGACUUUUAAAGGCGUGUUAUUAAGUGGUCACUGGACGUGUUGAGUUUUUCAAUCAAGAUCAAUUAAUUUUCGGUUUUGAGAUGUCGGGUAAUUUCAUUAUACCAUUUAUUGUACAACCAAUCAUUUAAAAUAUAACCCAAUGUUACCAUCGUGAUAUGCUAA